UCGAUUUUGUAAAAAAAAAACCCCGGGAGCGUUGCCGUCAGGAGAUCUUGAGCCGUUUGCUUGAGCUCUGCUUCUUUCUGAAUUAUCUUGAGUUCUCAAGGCACAAUGUUGGGAUCAGGCAACUUUGAUCUCAACAAGACGAAUAAAAACAAGAGGGACCAAUGGACCAAGGUGCUAUGUGAAGUGACCUGUGAGGAUCAACCCAGUGAAGCUAACACUUUGUGAUGCCCUUUGCUGGCUUCCAAGACUCUCCAGUCAGAAGCAGGCUUUAAAGGCUCCUGUGUCAUGGUUAAGUCAAGGAUAUCAAAGAUUCAGGUAAAAUACUCCUGAGUUGCUUCAUAUA